rnacentral:rRNA from 1 species
GAUGAACGCUGGCGGCGUGCCUAAUACAUGCAAGUCGAGCGAACGGACGAGAAGCUUGCUUCUCUGAUGUUAGCGGCGGACGGGUGAGUAACACGUGGAUAACCUACCUAUAAGACUUGGAUAACUUCGGGAAACCGGAGCUAAUACCGGCUGAUAUUUUGAACCGCAUGGUUCAAAAGUUAAAGACGGUCUUGCUGUCACUUAUAGCUGGAUCCGCGCUGCAUUAGCUAGUUGGUAAGGUAACGGCUUACCAAGGCAACGAUGCAUAGCCGACCUGAGAGGGUGAUCGGCCACACUGGAACUGAGACACGGUCCAGACUCCUACGGGAGGCAGCAGUAGGGAAUCUUCCGCAAUGGGCGAAAGCCUGACGGAGCAACGCCGCGUGAGUGAUGAAGGUCUUCGGAUCGUAAAACUCUGUUAUUAGGGAAGAACAGAUGUGGAAGUAACUGUGCACAUCUUGACGGUACCUAAUCAGAAAGCAACGGCUAACUACGUG